UGGGCAAUAAUUAUGCUCUACAUUCGUGUGUAGUUAAUGCUCAUGUCGAAUAACCGCUGUUUGAUUCUCCGACGUAUGGGGUUUAGAUAGUCGGUAUGGCACCGACUAAUUCGUCGAUCAAUCGUCGAUUUGAUCAGGUUCUGUCAGUCUUAGUCAAUCGAAUGCCGACUAGACUAAGUUCCGUCGAUCUAAAUCAGCUUAAUCUUAGACUAUGUCACAUCGAUCUAAAUCGGCUGGAUCGGUAACACAACAUUUAAUCGGCUGCAUUCAUAAUCAAGUCGGUAUGAAGAGGAGGAAGUGAGAUAGUCAUCACGCAUUUAGUCGUACUUAAUCGAUGGAGAGGUGAAGAGAAGAGAUAGUCGGUCAGACGAUGAGGAUCUAUCCUAACAAUAUCCCUAUUUAUAUUUAUACUUUCGUUAUCCGAAU
rnacentral:lncRNA from 1 species